CGGCUCACCAAGGCGGCGAUGCGUAGCCGACCUGAGAGGGUGAUCGGCCACUCUGGGACUGAGACACGGCCCAGACUCCUACGGGAGGCAGCAGUAGGGAAUCUUCCGCAAUGGACGAAAGUCUGACGGAGCAACGCCGCGUGAGUGAUGAAGGUUUUCGGAUCGUAAAACUCUGUUGUUAGGGAAGAACAAGUACCGUUCGAAUAGGGCGGCUCCUUGACGGUACCUAACCAGAAAGCCCCGGCUAACUACGUGCCAGCAGCCGCGGUAAUACGUAGGUGGCAAGCGUUGUCCGGAAUUAUUGGGCGUAAAGCGCGCGCAGGCGGUUUCUUAAGUCUGAUGUGAAAGCCCCCGGCUCAACCGGGGAGGGUCAUUGGAAACUGGGGAACUUGAGUGCAGAAGAGGAGAGUGGAAUUCCACGUGUAGCGGUGAAAUGCGUAAAGAUGUGGAGGAACACCAGUGGCGAAGGCGACUC
rnacentral:rRNA from 2 species